rnacentral:rRNA from 1 species
CUUCUUUUUCCACCGGAGCUUGCUCCACCGGAAAAAGARGAGUGGCGAACGGGUGAGUAACACGUGGGUAACCUGCCCAUCAGAAGGGGAUAACACUUGGAAACAGGUGCUAAUACCGUAUAACAAUCGAAACCGCAUGGUUUUGAUUUGAAAGGCGCUUUCGGGUGUCGCUGAUGGAUGGACCCGCGGUGCAUUAGCUAGUUGGUGAGGUAACGGCUCACCAAGGCCACGAUGCAUAGCCGACCUGAGAGGGUGAUCGGCCACAUUGGGACUGAGACACGGCCCAAACUCCUACGGGAGGCAGCAGUAGGGAAUCUUCGGCAAUGGACGAAAGUCUGACCGAGCAACGCCGCGUGAGUGAAGAAGGUUUUCGGAUCGUAAAACUCUGUUGUUAGAGAAGAACAAGGAUGAGAGUAACUGUUCAUCCCUUGACGGUAUCUAACCAGAAAGCCACGGCUAACUACGUGCCAGCAGCCGCGGUAAUACGUAGGUGGCAAGCGUUGUCCGGAUUUAUUGGGCGUAAAGCGAGCGCAGGCGGUUUCUUAAGUCUGAUGUGAAAGCCCCCGGCUCAACCGGGGAGGGUCAUUGGAAACUGGGAGACUUGAGUGCAGAAGAGGAGAGUGGAAUUCCAUGUGUAGCGGUGAAAUGCGUAGAUAUAUGGAGGAACACCAGUGGCGAAGGCGGCUCUCUGGUCUGUAACUGA